CAAAAAAAUCCAAUUAUGCAAAUCUUUCUUUAAAGUAAAAAUUGUGAAGAGGAUAGAGUCCAAUCAUUUAAUGCUUUCAGAGUUAAUGAUAAAUACUUUUAAAAUUUUAAAUUAUUAUUUUGAAAGGCUUUCUUUCACAUAUAUCAUUAUCAUUUUUUUAAAGGCUAUGGAAGAAAUGAAUGGUAAAGACUUGGAGGGAGAAAACAUUGAAAUUGUUUUUGCUAAGCCACCAGAUCAGAAGA
rnacentral:lncRNA from 1 species